rnacentral:rRNA from 1 species
GCAUAUCAAUAAGCGGAGGAAAAGAAACCAACAGGGAUUGCCUCAGUAACGGCGAGUGAAGCGGCAACAGCUCAAAUUUGAAAUCUGGAGCCUUCGGCUUCCGAGUUGUAAUUUGAAGAGGAUGUUUCGGUUGUGGCCUGGGCCUAAGUUCCUUGGAACAGGACGUCAUGGAGGGUGAGAAUCCCGUACAUGGCUGCAGGCUUACUUCCAUGUGAAACUCCUUCGAAGAGUCGAGUUGUUUGGGAAUGCAGCUCAAAAUGGGUGGUAAAUUUCAUCUAAAGCUAAAUAUUGGCGGGAGACCGAUAGCGCACAAGUAGAGUGAUCGAAAGAUGAAAAGCACUUUGAAAAGAGAGUUAAACAGCACGUGAAAUUGUUGAAAGGGAAGCGCUUGCGAUCAGACUCGCUCUCGGUUGAUCAACGUUCCUUCUGGUGCGUGCACUCUGCCGUUGGCGGGCCAGCAUCGGUUGGGGCGGCGGGACAAAGGCAGCGGGAAUGUGGCUCCUCUCGGGGAGUGUUAUAGCCCGUUGUGUAAUGCCGCCAGCCCCGACCGAGGUCCGCGGUUCUGCCUAGGAUGCUGGCUUAAUGGUCGUAAGCGACCCGUCUUGAAACACGGACCAAGGAGUCUAACAUCUAUGCGAGUCUUUGGGUGUCAAACCCAUGGGCGGAAUGAAAGUGAACGGAGGUGGGAGUCCUCGGAUGCACCAUCGACCGAUCCUGAUGUUCUCGGAUGGAUUUGAGUAUGAGCAUAGCUGUUGGGACCCGAAAGAUGGUGAACUAUGCCUGAAUAGGGUGAAGCCAGAGGAAACUCUGGUGGAGGCUCGCAGCGGUUCUGACGUGCAAAUCGAUCGUCAAAUUUGGGUAUAGGGGGCGAAAGACUAAUCGAACCAUCUAGUAGCUGGUUUCCUGCC